rnacentral:rRNA from 1 species
UCAUGAGUUUGACUGUGGCUCUGAGUGAACGCGAGCAAAAUCUCUUGACACAUGCGAAUCUUGCAGGGUUAGUUUUUUAACUUUGCGGUGUAAGGGUGAGUAAUGUACGACCGAGCUACCUAGAAGAUUACCUUGCUGGUAAACGCUGCGUUGUAUCCGAAAAUAGUAGGCAGAGAAUACUAGAGUGCAAAAGAAUAGAGAGACGCAACGCGCCUUUCGACGGUGGUUUUACCCCAAAAGCUGUUUGG